rnacentral:rRNA from 1 species
UACAGAGGUCCCAAGCGUUGUUCGGAUUCAUUGGGCGUAAAGGGUGCGUAGGCGGCGCGGUAAGUCGGUGUGAAAUCUCGGGGCUUAACUCCGAAACUGCAUUCGAUACUGCCGUGCUUGAGGACUGGAGAGGAGACUGGAAUUUACGGUGUAGCGGUGAAAUGCGUAGAUAUCGUAAGGAAGACCGUGGCGAAGGCGGGUCUCGUGGACAGUUCCUGACGCUGAGGCACGAAGGCCAGGGGAGCAAACGGG